rnacentral:rRNA from 1 species
GCUAACUACGUGCCAGCAGCCGCGGUAAUACGUAGGGUGCGAGCGUUAAUCGGAAUUACUGGGCGUAAAGCGUGCGCAGGCGGUUGUGUAAGACAGGUGUGAAAUCCCCGGGCUUAACCUGGGAACUGCGCUUGUGACUGCACAGCUAGAGUAUGGCAGAGGGGGGUGGAAUUCCACGUGUAGCAGUGAAAUGCGUAGAGAUGUGGAGGAACACCGAUGGCGAAGGCAGCCCCCUGGGCCAAUACUGACGCUCAUGCACGAAAGCGUGGGGAGCAAACAGGAUUAGAUACCCUAGUAGUC